CGCGGCGGGGCUUGCGGGCGUCCGCGCGUUAAAGCGCGCAGGGCGCGGGCUGGGCGGCGCUGCGGCCGCCGUGCGGGUUCCCCAGGCCACUGCGGGAGGGGGAGCCGCAGAGGAGACCAAGGGGCCGAGCGGCGAGCCGGGGAGGCCGGGGCGUGGCCCGGUGGGGACCCGCGUCCCUUUCCGCCCGCCCUGCACCCGGGGCUGGGCACUGAGCUCCGGGAUCAGCUGGACAACGUAGAAAAACAGCGGGGAAUUGGUAUUCUUGAGACCUUCGUCACAUUUGUCAAGAAAAGCACCGAGAUUGACCUCAGCGAUGCAAAGCAACGCAGGCAUCCCUGAAGAAAUACCAACCUGAAAAGAACUCGAAGGAGGAAGAACGCCAGGUACACAUGAUGGAAAGCUGUCCUUCCCUGCCUGUGAACGAAAUGAGCGGUCACGCUGGGCGGCACGAAGUUACCUUUUUGAGAACUUGAACUUCUAGAUCACUGUGGGAUUACAGGCCGCGUUCAAGACCUGAAGCAGGAGAGGAAAUCGCACUUUCAUUUCAAUUUUAUUUUUUCUGAUCAUUGAGUCUACUGCCUUUAUUGUGCUUGGCCAGCAUUUCCCACUGAUCGCUCUAACCUGUUGACCAAUCUCUGUAUUCCCCGGUUCUCACUGCCCUCCUUCCUCCAUCUCUUGUAUUUUCUGAAAGAUAUUGGGAAUGUCUCCUUUGGCGGUCCCGCACAUCGUUAAAGUAGCAACUUUCAAGUCAGGAUUUGAGCCUCCUGGAAGCAUCUGAGGGUUGCACUCGGCUAAUGAAGUGCACGAAAAUAGUCUUUCACAUUUCUAUCCAUGGAGACGGUAAACCAGGGGUAAUUGUGAUAAAUCCAAAGGAAAGUUGUGGCUGUUCAUAAAAAUAAAUAAGCCUCCCAAGCAGCAAAAGGAACUGAUUGCUGCAAUGAGCUCAUGAUUCCCAAACCCCACAUCGGCUGCUUUGAAGUCUGAAGCGUGGGUUGUGACACCAGAGGAUUUCCGCAAUCUGCCACCUCAACAGAGAAGGAGAAAGCUACAAGAAACAGUGAGUUAAAUAAAUUCAAAUGGAGAGGGACCGAAGAGAUGGCAUAACAAAAAUGAAGAACAUUAACCUAAAGAAUCCUCAAAUGGGAGACCCAACCAGCUUGGGUCACAAAUUAACAAAAUCUGGACAAAAAUACAGAAAAACCAGAAAUUUGAAGUCUGGUUGGCUGAGGUUGAAGGCCACUCCCACCACCAAGUGAACGGGCCUGACAAUGGAGCGGAAGUAUUGUAACAAGACAAUCAGCUGGCCGGGAAGCCAUGGGGAUUGGUUCUAGUGAACCAUAGAUGCCUCCCCUUCCUUCGGCACUAGCAGAUUACCAGCCUUCGGCAUUCAAUGAAGCCACUGGGAGACUGAAGAUAAUGAGAUCUGACCGUCCUAUCAGAUGAUGGACUCAUUUCCUGACUAACUACCCAAGAAAGCAAACUAAACACUGGAAAAGCCUAAAAUGGCAAAUCGCUGUUAGCUUAUGUUAUUCUAUGAAGUUUUUUUUCUUUACAGUUGUGCAAAUUUGAUUCAGAAAAUAGCUCAGUUGGUAUAGAGCAUGGGAGAGGGGUUGUGUGCAUGAAUUUAUGGUGAUUAUUUUAAGUCGUAUGCCUCAGCUCUGAGGACAAACAGAUUGAAGGUAUGUGAUGCUGACUAAACAAGUAAAGGUAUUUUCUAGUCUCAGUUCCUCUAGUCAGUGCCUGAAGUAUUGAAAAAAAAGUACUGAAGCAAUUCCCAAAGCAUCAGAAAUUUCCGUUUCUACCCAAUGUAUUUUUUAUUUUCUUCCAACAGUUCUCUGUUAAAUAAAAGGAGGGAAAAAUC